rnacentral:piRNA from 1 species
UUGAACAUGCUAUGUAGCCAAGGGCAA